rnacentral:rRNA from 1 species
GAUGAACGCUGGCGGCGUGCCUAAUACAUGCAAGUCGAGCGAACAGACGAGGAGCUUGCUCCUCUGACGUUAGCGGCGGACGGGUGAGUAACACGUGGAUAACCUACCUAUAAGACUGGGAUAACUUCGGGAAACCGGAGCUAAUACCGGAUAAUAUAUUGAACCGCAUGGUUCAAUAGUGAAAGACGGUUUUGCUGUCACUUAUAGAUGGAUCCGCGCCGCAUUAGCUAGUUGGUAAGGUAACGGCUUACCAAGGCAACGAUGCGUAGCCGACCUGAGAGGGUGAUCGGCCACACUGGAACUGAGACACAGUCCAGACUCCUGCGGGAGGCAGCAGUAGGGAAUCUUCCGCAAUGGGCGGAAGCUUGACGGAGCAACGCCGCGUGAGUGAUGAAGGUCUUCGGUUCGUAAAACUCUGUUAUUAGGGAAGAACAAAUGUGUAAGUAACUAUGCACGUCUUGACGGUACCUAAUCAGAAAGCCACGGCUAACUACGUG